AAGUUAAGUCAGCCGUGUUAUGU
rnacentral:siRNA from 1 species